rnacentral:rRNA from 1 species
CCUACGGGAGGCAGCAGUGGGGAAUAUUGCACAAUGGGCGCAAGCCUGAUGCAGCGACGCCGCGUGCGGGAUGGAGGCCUUCGGGUUGUAAACCGCUUUUGUUAAAGGGCAAGGCACGGUCUUUGGCCGUGUUGUGUGGAUUGUUCGAAUACGCGCCGGCUAACUACGUGCCAGCAGCCGCGGUAAUACGUAGGGUGCAAGCGUUAUCCGGAUUUCUUGGGCGUAAGGGGCUCGUAGGCGGUUCGGCGCGUCCGGUGUGAAAGUCCAUCGCUUAACGGUGGAUCCGCUCCGGGUACGGGCGGGCUUGAGUGCGGGAGGGGAGACUGGAAUUCCCGGUGUAACGGUGGAAUGUGUAGAUAUCGGGAAGAACACCAAUGGCGAAGGCAGGUCUCUGGGCCGUUACUGACGCUGAGGAGCGAAAGCGUGGGGAGCGAACAGGAUUAGAUACCCGGGUAGUC